UAGGGAAUAUUGCACAAUGGGCGAAAGCCUGAUGCAGCAACGCCGCGUGCGCGAUGACGGCCUUCGGGUUGUAAAGCGCUUUUCGGGGAGAUGAGGAAGGACAGUAUCCCCGGAAUAAGGCUCGGCUAACUACGUGCCAGCAGCCGCGGUAACACGUAGGAGCCAAGCGUUAUCCGAAUUCACUGGGCGUAAAGCGCGUGUAGGCGGCUUAUUAAGUUGGAUGUGAAAGCUCCUGGCUCAACUGGGAGAGGACGUUCAAAACUGGUAGGCUAGAGGGCGACAGAGGGAGGUGGAAUUCCCGGUGUAGUGGUGAAAUGCGUAGAUAUCGGGAGGAACACCAGUGGCGAAGGCGGCCUCCUGGGUCGCACCUGACGCUCAGACGCGAAAGCUAGGGUAGCAAACGG
rnacentral:rRNA from 1 species